rnacentral:SRP_RNA from 1 species
AUGGUGGUGCGUGCCUGUAGUCCCAGCUAAUUGGAAGGUGGAGGUGGCAGGAUCGAUUGAACCCAGGAUUUCUGGGCUGCAGUGUACUAGCUGAUCAGAUGUCCACACUAAAAUCAGUAUCUAUAUGAUGGCUUCCCGUAAAUGGGGACCACCAGGUGGCCUAAGGAGAAGUGAACUGACCCAGGUCAGAGCAAGUCAAAAUUUCCAGGCUGGUCAGUGAUAGAAGAAUAUGAAUCUAACCUGGCUAACAUAGUGAAAACCCAUCUUU